UCAGAAUUGACGCGGAUCGCUCGUGGCUCCUGCAAAAAAAGACCAGACGGCGAAACGAUCCGCUGCAUGGCGCGAGCCUACCUCGGUGGACCGCGGCGGUCCGCACCUGGUGUGAACCAUGCCACAGGUUAACCAUGGCGCUGAAUGGAAGCGGCGUCCGUUUCCUUUACAGCACUUCCGCGUCCAGUGAAAACCAGGCAUUACAUCACUCCAGCAAAUGCACAACAGAACAGAGGAGAAUGAGGCGUGCACACGCAGAGAGAAGAAAGAAGGGGCUGAUAUCUGAGUCAAGGAAGGAAGGAAGGGAGGAAGGGAGUGAGGAAGAGCUAAACUGGGAACAAUGUCUAAAAACAGGGAGAUGGAGAAAAGAACAAGACAGAGGCGUCAAAGAAAAAGGAAAAAA